rnacentral:rRNA from 1 species
UACAGAGGGUGCGAGCGUUAAUCGGAAUUACUGGGCGUAAAGCGUGCGUAGACGGUUAUUUAAGUCGGAUGUGAAAGCCCCGGGCUCAACCUGGGAAUGGCAUUCGAGACUGCAUAGCUAGGAUGCGGAAGAGGGAAGUGGAAUUUCCGGUGUAGCGGUGAAAUGCGUAGAUAUCGGAAGGAACAUCAGUGGCGAAAGCGACUUCCUGGUCCAGCAUCGACGUUCAGGCACGAAAGCGUGGGGAGCAAACAGG